CCCCCCCCCUCUGUCUCAUGGUACAGAGUGGUGGAUAAACUCUAGGAGGAGGGGAAACAGAGGAAACCCCCCAGGGAGUGACAGGAGGAGAGGACUUGGCAUAGCUGAGCCAGGGAAGACGAUUCCAAGACUUGUGAGUCUGAGAAACACAGCAUUCUGGCCUCUUUCAGCUUCUGAGCUUUGACGCCUACAUAGCACACUCCACACACGCUCCCCGGAACUCUCCCGAACGCCACGC